rnacentral:miRNA from 1 species
AAUGCAGUGUGUUUGUGUAGUGUGUUUUAUAUAAUGCACACUACACAAACACACUGCAUU